rfam:Tetraodon nigroviridis, WGS project CAAE01000000 data, contig: CNS0BYRO, chromosome: 19
UUGGGGUGAGGUAGUAGGUUGUAUAGUUUUAGGGUCAUUCCCAAACUGUCAGAUGACUAUACAACUUACUGUCUUUCCCGG